UUCGCCGCCGUGCCGUUAAGCGCUCUGGGGAAAAGCUGGGCCCGCGCGGAGCGCGCUCUUCUUGCGCCGAGAGAACGGUGCGGAAACUCCCGGGGGAGUCCGCCCGGCGCGGGCAGCACGAGGACGCCGACAUGUUAACGGGCUUCAAAACUGACAGGUCUUGUGCUGCCGUAGCAGCGGGCAGCCCCUGGGCCCACCAGGAGGCGGUCCGGCGGAGCCGGCGCUACGGAGGCGUCGGAGCCCUUAGGCUGCGGCUGCCCUCAGCAGCCGCGGGAUUCAGCGACAGCGCUCCCCUGUGCGGGAGCCUCUUUAUCAAAGGAUUCGAAUUAGCAGAAUAGCGGGAACGUGUCCGUGCCUCCGAGCCAGACCAAGGGCUUCAUGUAAUUUCCAAGUGCAAUGAGAAGCUUCCCAAAAUAGAAUCUGUAUCAAAGACUUGAUUGCUUCCUCAGUUAAUAACUAACCAUUUCAGAAGACUGGUAGAAAGUAUCACUAUGUGCAACAACUUGAAUAUUAACGACAAAGGAAAAGCACUCAUUUCCUGCAAGCAGCAAGGCCAAAGGUCUGUUCAGCGAAGGGCAGACACAACAGAAUCCCAGUAAAGAAUUUUUCCCACAGUGCUCUCAGAGAAGCUCUAGAUGCUUGAUGAAUGGUGUGACUGGUUCAACUGCCACUGCUAAAAACAGACCAACCCCAGCUGCAUAUAAUGGUUGAGCUGCCUGAACUGGGACUGCGGAGAUGAACAAGAAGUAAUAGUAAUAAUAAUAAUAUAUAUAAAAAUAUAAUUAUUAGAUAUAUAUAUAAUAAUUAUCUCAGGAUUGUGACUGAAUUCUCUGAUACAUUAAGAAACCUGCAGCAAAAAAAAAAAAAAAACAACACCCAAACCAAUCAAGGUGCUUAAGUAGUUUGCUGACUGUAACUGGAAGACAACUGACUAAUGCUGUUUCCCUAUUUAAGUUCCCCAGCUUUAAGACUGAAGAAUCUGUGUCCCCAGAGCUCCUAAGCCGUAGGAAGUAGUACUUGUCAGUGUAGGUAGUUUUGACCCCAUGGAGCUUGUCCUGCAUUUUCACACUAACCAUCCAAAGGUAGGAACUUGUAUAGGUUUGCCCUGAAGUUAAUGUAAGGUUAUUAGCAAUCAGGUAACAGAUGUUUCAUUAACUACUUGUAUUUAUUUUUAAGUUACAUAUUAGUUAACUGCCAAGUUAAUAAUUUGCUUUCUGAAUGUAUCCCCUAAUAGCAAUUUCAAGUUAUCAAAUCACAAGCAGAGCUGCUUUCUGGUUUAUCAUACAGUUAGUUGUAUUUCAAUUAUAUUGUAAACCAGCAAGACAAUAGGACAGAAAUUAAUCAAAUCAUCAGAGCGAGAUCUCAAAAAGUUUUCUCAGUCAGCGCCAGAAGUUUAGCAAUGACUUCAAAAGCUAACUAUAAGAGUUGUAUUAAGUGUUCAAGAACAUCAUGCACUUCUAGGAUCCA